rnacentral:rRNA from 1 species
CCCUUAGAUGUUCUGGGCUGCACACGUGCUACACUGGCAGGUUCAGCGAGCUUCAUGCCCUGAUCUGAAAGGAAUGGGAAAUCUUUUCAAAACCUGCCGUGCUUGGGAUAGAUGUUUGCAAUUAUUCAUCUUCAACGAGGAUUGCCUUGUAAGCGCACGUCAUCAGCGUGCAUUGAAUACGACCCUGUAUUCUGUACACACCGCCCGUCGCUCCUACCGAUUGAAGUUUUCGGUGAGUUGACAGGAGGAUUUUUUUGAAACUGGUUCGCCAGUUGAUUUUAGAUCCAAAUGCCAACGAAUCGAUGGCUUUAGAGGAAGGAGAAGUCGUAACA